rnacentral:rRNA from 1 species
AUACGGAGGAUGCGAGCGUUAUCCGGAUUUAUUGGGUUUAAAGGGUGCGUAGGCGGGCUGUUAAGCGUGAGGUGAAAGCUCGGGGCUCAACCCCGGAACUGCCUCGCGAACUGGCGGUCUUGAAUGUCCGUGCCGUGGGAGGAAUGUGUGAUGUAGCGGUGAAAUGCAUAGAGAUCACACAGAACACCGAUUGCGAAGGCAUCUCACGAACGGAUGAUUGACGCUGAGGCACGAAAGCGUGGGGAUCAAACAGGAUUAGAUACCCUGGUAGUCCACGCAGUAAACGAUGAUGGCUAACCGCUGGGCUUAUCAGUUCAGUGGCCAAGCGAAAGCGAUAAGCCAUCCACCUGGGGAGUACGACCGCAAGGUUGAAACUCAAAUGAAUUGACGGGG